UACUAGAGUAGCACUCGCAUAUCAAUAAGCGGAGGAAAAGAAACUAACAAGGAUUCCCCUAGUAACGGCGAGUGAAGCGGGAAGAGCUCAAAUUUGAAAUCUUAAAGGGUUUCCCUUUACGAAUUGUAGUUUAAAGAAGUGUUUUCUGUUGAGGUUUUGGUAAAAGUUCUUUGGAAUAGGACAUCAUAGAGGGUGAGAAUCCCGUAUUUGACCUUUACUUUCAACUUUGUGAUACACUUUCAAAGAGUCGGAUUGUUUGGGAAUGCAGUCCAAAAUGGGUGGUAAAUUUCAUCUAAAGCUAAAUAUUGGCGAGAGACCGAUAGCGAACAAGUACCGUGAGGGAAAGAUGAAAGGAACUUUGAAAAGAGAGUUAAACAGUACGUGAAAUUGUCAAAAGGGAAGCGUUUGACACCAGUGUUGUUUUUCUGAAAAUCAAUUAAAGAACUGUUUAUGCUAAGUUGUUUAGACUUUAUCAGCUAACUGUUUAGUUUUGAGCUUUUCUUUAAUGCACUUUUCAGUUAACAAGUCAACAUCAAUUUCUUUUGCUGUAAAAAAGCUUGAGGAAGGUGGCUUGAGAUUCGUCUUAAGUGUUUAUAGCCUCUUGCCUAUGCAGUCGGAGAGAUUGAGGUCUGCAGCGUAGAUCCUUCGGGGCUAAAUGCAUUUGUGCUAAGUUAUAGCAUUUUAUAGACAACUUGUUGACUAUGAUUUGUCUUGUAGCUUACUCGCUUAUGUUAUUUUACCUACGCUUAGGAUGUUGAACUCUAUCACACACAG
rnacentral:rRNA from 1 species